rnacentral:rRNA from 1 species
AUUGAACGCUGGCGGCAGGCCUAACACAUGCAAGUCGAACGGUAACAGGAAGCAGCUUGCUGCUUCGCUGACGAGUGGCGGACGGGUGAGUAAUGUCUGGGAAACUGCCUGAUGGAGGGGGAUAACUACUGGAAACGGUGGCUAAUACCGCAUAACGUCGCAAGACCAAAGAGGGGGACCUUCGGGCCUCUUGCCAUCAGAUGUGCCCAGAUGGGAUUAGCUUGUUGGUGAGGUAACGGCUCACCAAGGCGACGAUCCCUAGCUGGUCUGAGAGGAUGACCAGCCACACUGGAACUGAGACACGGUCCAGACUCCUACGGGAGGCAGCAGUGGGGAAUAUUGCACAAUGGGCGCAAGCCUGAUGCAGCCAUGCCGCGUGUAUGAAGAAGGCCUUCGGGUUGUAAAGUACUUUCAGCGGGGAGGAAGGUGUUGUGGUUAAUAACCGCAGCAAUUGACGUUACCCGCAGAAGAAGCACCGGCUAACUCCGUGCCAGCAGCCGCGGUAAUACGGAGGGUGCAAGCGUUAAUCGGAAUUACUGGGCGUAAAGCGCACGCAGGCGGUCUGUCAAGUCGGAUGUGAAAUCCCCGGGCUCAACCUGGGAACUGCAUUCGAAACUGGCAGGCUUGAGUCUUGUAGAGGGGGUAGAAUUCCAGGUGUAGCGGUGAAAUGCGUAGAGAUCUGGAGGAAUACCGGUGGCGAAGGCGGCCCCCUGGACAAAGACUGACGCUCAGGUGCGAAAGCGUGGGGAGCAAACAGGAUUAGAUACCCUGGUAGUCCACGCCGUAAACGAUGUCUACUUGGAGGUUGUGCCCUUGAGGCGUGGCUUCCGGAGCUAACGCGUUAAGUAGACCGCCUGGGGAGUACGGCCGCAAGGUUAAAACUCAAAUGAAUUGACGGGGGCCCGCACAAGCGGUGGAGCAUGUGGUUUAAUUCGAUGCAACGCGAAGAACCUUACCUGGUCUUGACAUCCACAGAACUUUCCAGAGAUGGAUUGGUGCCUUCGGGAACUGUGAGACAGGUGCUGCAUGGCUGUCGUCAGCUCGUGUUGUGAAAUGUUGGGUUAAGUCCCGCAACGGGCGCAACCCUUAUCCUUUGUUGCCAGCGGUCCGGCCGGGAACUCAAAGGAGACUGCCAGUGAUAAACUGGAGGAAGGUGGGGAUGACGUCAAGUCAUCAUGGCCCUUACGACCAGGGCUACACACGUGCUACAAUGGCGCAUACAAAGAGAAGCGACCUCGCGAGAGCAAGCGGACCUCAUAAAGUGCGUCGUAGUCCGGAUUGGAGUCUGCAACUCGACUCCAUGAAGUCGGAAUCGCUAGUAAUCGUGGAUCAGAAUGCCACGGUGAAUACGUUCCCGGGCCUUGUACACACCGCCCGUCACACCAUGGGAGUGGGUUGCAAAAGAAGUAGGUAGCUUAACCUUCGGGAGGGCGCUUACCACUUUGUGAUUCAUGACUGGGGUGAAGUCGUAACAAGGUAACCC